GAUGAACGCUGGCGGCGUGCUUAACACAUGCAAGUCGAACGGAAAGGCGCCUGCUUGCAGGGGUACUCGAGUGGCGAAGGGGGGAGUAACACGUGGGUGGUCUGCACAGAACUUAGGGAUAAGCCUGGGAAACUGGGGAUAAUACCGGAGAGGACGAAGGUAUGGAUGCGAUUGUGGAAAGUUUUUUCGGUGUGGGAUGAGCUAGCGGCCUAUCAGCUUGGUGGUGGGGUAAUGGCCUACCAAGGCGUCGACGGGUAGCCGGCCUGGGAGGGUGUACGGCCACAUUGGGACUGAGGUACGGCCCAGACUCCUACGGGAGGCAGCAGUGGGGAAUUUUGCACAAUGGGCGCACGCCUGUUGCAGCGACGCCGCGUGGGGGAUGACGGCCUUCGGGUUGUAAACUCCUUUCUCUGGGGACGAAGCGCUCGUGACGGUACCUGGAGAAGAAGCACCGGCUAACUACGUG
rnacentral:rRNA from 1 species